rnacentral:tRNA from 1 species
GGCUCCGUGGCUUAAUGGUUACGGCUUCUGCCUCCCAAGCAGAAGGUUCAGGGAUCAAAUCCCGGUCGGUACCU